rnacentral:rRNA from 15 species
CGAUAAUGGGUGUGAAAAACACCCACGCCGAAAGACCAAGGUUUCCUGCGCAACGUUAAUCGACGCAGGGUUAGUCGGUCCCUAAGGCGAGGCUGAAAAGCGUAGUCGAUGGAAAACAGGUUAAUAUUCCUGUACUUCUGGUUAUUGCGAUGGAGGGACGGAGAAGGCUAGGCCAGCUUGGCGUUGGUUGUCCAAGUUUAAGGUGGUAGGCUGGGAUCUUAGGUAAAUCCGGGAUUUCAAGGCCGAGAGCUGAUGACGAGUUGCCUUUAGGCGACGAAGUGGUUGAUGCCAUGCUUCCAAGAAAAGCUUCUAAGCUUCAGGUAACUAGGAACCGUACCCCAAACCGACACAGGUGGUUGGGUAGAGAAUACCAAGGCGCUUGAGAGAACUCGGGUGAAGGAACUAGGCAAAAUGGCACCGUAACUUCGGGAGAAGGUGCGCCGGUGAGGGUGAAGGACUUGCUCCGUAAGCUCAUGCCGGUCGAAGAUACCAGGCCGCUGCGACUGUUUAUUAAAAACACAGCACUCUGCAAACACGAAAGUGGACGUAUAGGGUGUGACGCCUGCCCGGUGCCGGAAGGUUAAUUGAUGGGGUUAGCUAACGCGAAGCUCUUGAUCGAAGCCCCGGUAAACGGCGGCCGUAACAAUAACGGUCCUAAGGUAGCGAAAUUCCUUGUCGG